rnacentral:tRNA from 1 species
UCCCUGGAGGACUAGUGGUUAGGCCUUGGCACUAUAACCCCCGUGGCUCAGGUUCGAUUCCUGGCCAGGGAG